GUGUCAGCAGCCGCGGUAAUACGGGAGUGGCAAGCGUUAUCCGGAAUUAUUGGGCGUAAAGCGUCCGCAGGCGGUUUUACAAGUCUGUCGUUAAAACGUGGAGCUCAACUCCAUUUCGGCGAUGGAAACUGUAAGACUAGAGUGUGGUAGGGGCAGAGGGAAUUCCCGGUGUAGCGGUGAAAUGCGUAGAUAUCGGGAAGAACACCAGUGGCGAAGGCGCUCUGCUGGGCCAUAACUGACGCUCAUGGACGAAAGCCAGGGGAGCGAAAGGGAUUAGAUACCCCUGUAGUCCUGGCCGUAAACGAUGAACACUAGGUGUCGGGGGAAUCGACCCCCUCGGUGUCGUAGCCAACGCGUUAAGUGUUCCGCCUGGGGAGUACGCACGCAAGUGUGAAACUUAAAUGAAUUGACGGGG
rnacentral:rRNA from 1 species